UACGGGGGGGGCAAGCGUUGUUCGGAAUUACUGGGCGUAAAGGGUUCGUAGGUGGCCAGUUAAGUCAGACGUGAAAUCCCUCAGCUCAACUGGGGAACUGCGUCUGAGACUGGAUGGCUUGAGUGCAGGAGAGGAACGCGGAAUUCCAGGUGUAGCGGUGAAAUGCGUAGAUAUCUGGAGGAAUACCGAUGGCGAAGGCAGCCCGCUGGGAUAACACUGACGCUCAUGCACGAAAGCGUGGGGAGCAAACAGG
rnacentral:rRNA from 1 species